ensembl:lncRNA
GCAGAAUCGAGUGAUGCCCAAAGCCUCUCAGUGGCCUGACCCCUCAGCUCUUCUCACCCCUCCCCUCACCACCACUCGGGGUCGCUGCGCUGAGGGGCUGAGGAGAAUGUGGCCCGUCCCCAGCUCUCCUCUCCUGCGGCUACCGCCUCCAUGAUGCCGCCAUGCUUGCUCAGGAGAGGAGUGGGAUCCCAGGGGCUCUGGCUCCUGGUGCAGCAGAGGUGGUGGGAGCACUCACCUACCGUCUCCUGUGUAUCAUCCCUCAGACCAGCACCACACAUGAACUCUACCCCGUCGACUCUCUCAGUAGCAAUCCUAUGAGGUAAAUGUUUUCAUGCCCAUUUGACAUGGGCUCCUGAGGCUCAGAAAGAUGAGUGAGGUCACACAGGUGGUAGCUGGUGACUCAAAGCCAGGCUAUUUGACAUGCAACAGCUGUGGAGUCUUUCCCAGUUUCGGGGCUGCCAUCAACCAGAAGACACAGCCCUCACCUUGUGAAAGCCAGCACAUCCAGUCUCACCCAGCUCCAAACUCCAAGACCCAUAGCAUCUUUGCACCUACCAAGGGGAGCCCAGGGACUCCCUGGAUGCCCCUAAAAGAGACAGGUGUUUGAAAACUCGGCUUUCUGGAUUGGCCUGGGACUGACUGGAGAAGAAUAACAUGGCAGUGAGAAUUCCCUGGCAGUCUAGUGGUUAGGGCUUGAUGCUUUCACUGCCCAGGGCCCAAGUUCGAUCCCUGAUUGGGGAACUAAGAUCCUGCAAGCCAUGUGCAGCAGCCAAAAAAAAAAAAAGUGACAUAAAGUAGGUGAAAAGGUCCCAUGUCCACCUUGGGUGUGUGCGUGCUAAGUCUCUUCAGGGGUGUCCAACUCUUUGUGACCCUAUAGACUGUAGCCCAUCAGGCUCCUGUGUCCAUGGGGAUUCUUCAAGCAAGAGUACUGAAGCGCUGGAGGGGGUUUCCGUGCCCUCCUCCAGGGGAUCUUUCCAACCCAGGGACUGAACCCUUCGUCUCUUAUGUCUCCCACAUUGACCACCUGGGAAGUCCUUUUUCACCUUAAGCCCCCAAACUAGGACAUAGACCAAAUGAGGUAUAAGGCCUAAUAAGAAGCAAGCCAAAGUAAUUGUGCCUUCUGAUUUCAAGGAAGAAUUGACCGCAUGUUGGAUGAGCUACAUUUACCCUUGUGGCCCAUUAUUGGUUCUCACCAGCCAGAGGCCAGAAGGGGUUUAGGGCUCUGGGGCCAAGCCUAUAGGCCUAUGGCCUGUCUGCCUUCAGGCCCUGCAGCCCUCAGACUGCAGGUCAGAACCCAGGAGACAGGCUACAGGAGAAGAUGAGUUACUUAACUGAGGCCGGAAAGCUUUUGAAAUGAGGCCCAUCUGCCCUCAGACAAGCACUGUGUGCCUGUGACCCUGGAGAGAGGGCAAUGUCUUUGACCCGCCCAAGAUCCCCCUUGGGGACCGUUCCAUCCUCUUCUGACCUUCUCACCCCCCGGGCCACUCACCCCCACCUGCCGCAUCUGUGGUCUAACAGCUGUGGAGGGUGAGCAGAGACGUUAAGCCCUAAUGUCUCCAGGUUCUUAACAGCUGGGAGCUCUCUCUGUUGCCUGGUGGUUUCCAGCCUUUCUUCUGGAAUGUUCAGCUGACAACAUCUCUAUCAGCUGUGAGUGCCCAGAGGCUGAGGACUGACAGGUGGACCCGGUGGGGAUGGCAGCGAGAAAAAGACCCCUUCUGAGAACUUGUGGCAGAGUGGGGUAUGGAACUGAUAAGGAUUAAAGGACAACUCCUGGGCUCUUGGGAGCUGCCAUGCCCACAGCGAGCCUUCAGUUCCCAGCCUCCCGGUGGCUCCCAGGCCCCAGUAGGCCCCACUUCAGGGCUCUGAAGCCCCUGGCUGCCUGCAUCAGAAUCGCC